UAAAGGGAGCGUAGAGCGAACACAAAGGGAGCGUAGAGCGAACGUAAAAGGGAAGCGUAGAGCGAACGGAGCGAGUCAUAAGGGAACGCAAAGGGAGAUUGUGGCGAACGGGUUAAACUCACAUAGGAAAACAACGUAUGGAUAGAUCAUACGACUCACAUGAGAACGUAAAGGGAGCGUAGAGCGAACGUAAAAGGGAAGCGUAGAGCGAACGGAGCGAGUCAUAAGGGAGCGUAAAGGGAGAUUGUGGCGAACGGGUUAAACUCACAUAGGAAAACCAGGCAUGGAUAGAACGUACGACUUACACAAGAGCGUCAAGGGAGUGUAAAACAAAUAGUCACACACGGAAAGGGAGCAAACAAGCGUCACACGAAAACAAAGGGAGAGUAGAACGAAUUGAAACAUGAACGUAAAGGGCGGAUAGAACGUAUAGGGAGACACAAAAUACAUGGAAAUAAGGAACGAUUGGAAGGAGAGGGACACGAAAAUAGAACCACAGAAAGAAAUAAUAAGCAAAUAAGUUAGGAAAUAAGGACGAAUGGGAGGAGAGGGACACGAAAAUAGAUCCACAGAAAGAAAAUAAGUUAGAGCAAGAAAUAAUAAGCAAAUAAGUAAGGAAAUAAGGACGAAUGGAAGGAGAAGGACACGAAAAUAGAACCACAGAAAGAAAAUAAGUUAGAGAAAGAAAUAAUAAGCAAAUACGUUAGGAAAUAAGGACGAAUGGGAGGAGAAGUACACGAAAAUAGAUCCACAGAAAGAAAAUAAGUUAGGGAAAGAUUUAAUAAGCAAAUAAGUCACGAAGGAAGCGAAUCAAGCGAGAGAAAGAUAACUAAAAAGAUAACAUAAGCAAAGCGAGAUGAGGGAAUGGAUACCGGGCAAAUAAAAGAAAGAUUUGAAUUGACUGAUUAAAAAGGAGAAAAAGAAGUGUGGGGAAGAGAGGAAUGAAGGGAAGGAAAGAGAGGAAGAGAGAGAGGGAAGAAAAUGUUGGAAUGGGGAAUAGGAGAGAAAAUGGAGAAGAACAAGAAAUGGAAGAGAAAAAAAGAAUAAAAAUUAGAAAGAAGGAGAAAAAGAAAGAAAUGAAGGGAAGGAAAGAGAGGAAGAGAGAGA